rnacentral:rRNA from 1 species
GUGCCAGCAGCCGCGGUAAUACGUAGGGUGCAAGCGUUGUCCGGAAUUAUUGGGCGUAAAGAGCUCGUAGGCGGUUUGUCGCGUCUGCUGUGAAAACCCGAGGCUCAACCUCGGGCUUGCAGUGGGUACGGGCACAGGCUAGAGUGCGGUAGGGGAGAUUGGAAUUCCUGGUGUAGCGGUGGAAUGCGCAGAUAUCAGGAGGAACACCGAUGGCGAAGGCAGAUCUCUGGGCCGUAACUGACGCUGAGGAGCGAAAGCGUGGGGAGCGAACAGGAUUAGAUACCCUGGUAGUCC